UUGAUUGAGGAGGUUUUAAUUUAGGUCUCAAUUGGGUUUGCUACAUCACAUGUAAACCUAUCUACCCGACUCUCAUUCACAUCACAUGCAAACGGCACAUUGUAGGCAGUUAUAAUCGCAGCAAUAAUUAAAGCUAAACUUUAAAUAGGUGAUGAUCAUGGAUUCUAAUUAGGUCGUAUUACAAGCACAUGCACGUCAAUC
rnacentral:lncRNA from 1 species